rnacentral:rRNA from 1 species
GAUGAACGCUAGCGAUAGGCUUAACACAUGCAAGUCGAGGGGCAGCACAAGGUAGCUUGCUAUCUGGGUGGCGACCGGCGCACGGGUGCGUAACGCGUAUGCAACUUGCCCUAUACAGGAGGAUAACCCGUCGAAAGACGGACUAAUACUGCGUAUGCUCACAACUUGGCAUCAAGUGGUGAGGAAAGAAAUUCGGUAUAGGAUAGGCAUGCGUCCCAUUAGCUUGUUGGUGAGGUAACGGCUCACCAAGGCAACGAUGGGUAGGGGAACUGAGAGGUUUAUCCCCCACACUGGUACUGAGACGCGGACCAGACUCCUACGGGAGGCAGCAGUGAGGAAUAUUGGUCAAUGGGCGCGAGCCUGAACCAGCCAAGUCGCGUGAAGGAUGACUGUCUUAUGGAUUGUAAACUUCUUUUAUACGGGAAUAACAAGAGUCACGUGUGACUCCCUGCAUGUACCGUAUGAAUAAGCAUCGGCUAACUCCGUG